rnacentral:rRNA from 1 species
CCUACGGGAGGCAGCAGUGGGGAAUAUUGCACAAUGGGGGAAACCCUGAUGCAGCGACGCCGCGUGAGUGAAGAAGUAUCUCGGUACGUAAAGCUCUAUCAGCCGGGAAGAAAAUGACGGUACCUGACUAAGAAGCCCCUGCUAACUAGGUGCCAGCCGCCGCGGUAAUACGUAGGUGGCAAGCGUUAUCCGGAUUUACUGGCUGUAAGGGGAGCGUCGACGGCAGCACAAGUCUGGAGUGAAGUCCCGGGGCUUAACCCCGGAACUGCUUUGGAAACUGUGCGGUGGGAGUGCAGGAGGGGUAGGAGGAAUUGCUAGGGGAGCGGUGAAAUGCGUAGAUAUUAGGAGGAACACCGGUGGCGAAGGCGGCUUACUGAACUGUAACUGACGUGGAGGCUCGAAAGCGUGGGGAGCAAACAGGAUUAGAUACCCGGGUAGUC